GUAUUUACAAAGAAAAGCUGCGUCAUAUUCUUGAAGCGAACGUCUAGGGUGGAUCAAUUCAUGUAGUCAGUAUAUAAGCAAUUUGCCCUCCAUGGAUCAGAACGCUCUUGGGACGUAGACAAAUAAGGGGACUUCGUGGCAACUAAAAUGGCAGCUUUUUAGAAUUUUUACGCAUGUGUCAAUCACAGGCUCUAUAAAUUGCGAAUACAAUUUCACAUCAGACCAUAAUUCUUCUGGAAGCACAAAAGCACAACUCAUCUAACAAGGACCACUUUGCAGUAAAGGAGCUUAAAGAAUGGCCAAGACAAUUUUGUUGAUAUUGGUAUUGUGCAUGGCCUUGGUUUUCCUGUCGAAUGGCGUGGAAGUCAAGACCAGGGCCACUCUAUGCCGCUGCCGUAAGAAUAGAAAGCUACGACAUCUCGAUGGGGAUCUUUGGUUUUGGAGAGGUGCCUGCCCGGGUGGACAUGGAUACAAACAGUCUUGCAGACGUGGCUGGAGUAUUUGCUGUUUCCCAAGAACAGGUUAAUAACAGGUUAUAGAUAAACUGAAGUUAACUAAAAGCUCAGUAGUUCAAAAAAAUAAUAAAUUGGUCAAAUGAAUAGUGAUUAAUUCAAAGAUUGAAACUUAAAUGUCUUCAGAGUGUUAACUUCGUUGUAAACAUGUUGUAAUCAUAAGGGAAUGAACUACAAAUAAAAUCACAGGAACUCAAAAAGA